UUUGUUCUUUCAUUGCGGUGACUGUGACGUUUGGCGGGUUUCAGAGACAAGGCUCCAGGGUCUGGUGGCUAGAGCUCCCAUGGAAACUGUUUUUGGGUGUUUACUGUUUGAGGAAUUGUUCAGAUUGUCUCGGUACCAAUAAUUUCCAUAUUGACGGCAUCUGGAAAGUUUCUUCCGUUGAUCCAGGCUAUGUGUGAUGGAGAACAGUUGGCGAAAACCUACCCACGACCAAUGUUGGUAACAAAAGUUCAUAUGGCGCCAGCACCUGUGAUGCUUCCCAGUUUUUGUAACACUGUUAGUGUAUGGAUUCUUAACUGAAGCAUCGCUUUUCUCGAGGCAAAAAUUUGGGUUGUAGCUGGAUUAUACGUCAUCAUGCGUCUGGCAUGAUUAGCCUAUGCUUCUGUGGUAUCAAAAAAUUAUCCGUCAACCUAACCAGGCACGAAAUAGGUCUUUUUUUUAUAUGAGAACCUUUAGCCAGGGUCGUUUGCUUAUGCAAACUAGAAUCGUUUAGGUAAAAUUACAAACUCAGUUAGUGUGUCAGGCUGUGAAGACACUAGUUAGGUAGGUCGAAUAAAUGCUGUCAUGUUUGUGGAUACUUUUGUGACAUAUUGUAAUUCCGUGCUUUUUCUUUUAAUUUCAACCAUGGUCACGACCCUAAUUUCCACCGUCCUGACGUAGGCCUACAGUAUAAUCGAUUUUGAUGUCUCAGCUUUGCUUUGAAAUCUCCAUUCCGUUUUAGUGUGACCUUACUGCAACUCCUUGGUCACGCCUCGCUGUCUGUCAUGAUUCCACACCAGCAUUUUGGGGUAUACAAGCUUAGAAGCGUUGUUUCAAUGUUUGUAUGACGGACGAGUGCUUGGAGCUGAUUGAAAAGGAUAGUCACGUGACGAUGUUUUGUUCCUUGAUACUGAAAGCUUUGUCAUCUCUAAAGUUGCUUGACAUGAAUUGUGGUGACCAACCGUGAACGGAAGCCGAGUCCCUUCAAGCUUUCAUUGGUAAACCCAACAACACCGCCCACAUAGUUGUAAUGUACAUGUAGUUCUGGACAUAAUGCUGUACCGUACAUUUUGUCUCAUUUGUUAAGCACCAGGCACUGCCAGGCAACAGUAUUCAAGGAUAUUUCUUUAUAUGGAAUGAAGGAAUUUACUGUGCAUUGCUGCUAUUAUGGUGUGGACAAUGUUCAAAAAUGCAUCAAGGCGCUCCCGAGCCAGUCAGUAUCCCCGUCAAUUGAUCUACCUUAGUUUCAACCAUGUACCCUUCUUGGUUCACAUUUAAAUGCAAUUCUUGUACAUGCAUUGGUAGUGUCGGUUAAGGGCGGAUCCAGAACCAAAUUUUAGGGGGGGGGAGAACUUUAGCGUGUGUCACCCGUUCUACGGAACCCGUGGCUCCAAAACAAGCGAACGUUUAUUACAGACACUACUAUUUUGUAUGUAACCUGUUGAGCCUUUCUGAGGGGUGAAAGUAAAUUCGGGGGUUUUAAGGGAAAAAUUCCUAAACAAAAGUUUGAGGAGGGAGGAUGUCGCCGCCCUUGCCCCACCCCCCAUCUGCAGCGUGCAGCGAUGCAUUAUAUCGGUAUUCAUGCUAUUAAUUUUAAAAUUUGUGUUUUAUCCAACAGAAUCGUAUAGGCCUUUAUAAUCUUUUAACAGGAUGCGUCUCUCCUUAACUGCAGCAUUUGAUCUCUUAUCCGAACAAUCGACACGAUAAUUAGUUCAACGGAACGUUUCGGUAUUAUCUUUCCUGCGUGACAGGCUUACAGGCACGGAACAGCCAUAGAGAAAUGCUACAUCAGAGAUCGUUUGUCGGUUGAGUCACCGGACGGAACUAACAAGCGCUUGGGUUCGAAGUCCAUUGCGGUUUCGCAACUUUUUUUCUCUCGCGUGCGGAGCGUUUGAUAGAGAUACCCAUCUUCAGCGUCUCCCGCGAUGUCUGUAUUUGCUAAUUUGACUUGAGUGAACACGGAUAUGUGCCCAUCACGCACACAAUGGAUGGCUGAAUGAGCCAUGACGAGUGUUUGUCUUUCCACCCAUUUGUGGGGAACGAAGGAUGGCAUUGUUUUCAGUACAAGGGAUCAAUGCAACCGGCAGAACUAUGCAUGCUCAAAAAGAUAUAUCCUGCAUGAUGCCCUUCACUCAUGAACCCCUUCACCCAACUUGCCACCUUCACCGUGAAAAGCUUCAAAGCUGUAAAACAUUAGGCUAAUGUUUGACAACUCUCUGUUCAAAAAAAAAAAAAAUAAGUGUAUUCCCCAGACGUAGCAGGCUCUGUAUAAGCUUGACUGAAAAGUUCGGGGCGGGAGUACUUACCAAUGUUGCUUUAUUAUAAGAACAGUUAUGUUUUACCUGGAAAAAGUUAUAAGGGGAAACUGUGAAAAGCAUGCGCUCUUAUCUCUAAAACAGUACGACUAAUAGUCUCUCCCCAUCCUACCAACUCUACCGCUGAUGCACUUAUGGUGAAAGCCUCUCUUGUGAAAAAAUACGUGGUUGGCAAGUGUUUUCAAAAUUCAAGGAACGGGGUUUACUGUGAGGUUGCCCCGAGUCGGCUAUAAAAAGUACAAUAAUACAGACUUGUCGACGUUUAACAUUAGGGCCUCUGACGGAGUGUGAAGGCUUCAUUAAUUGUCAGAACGGACCUCGUGUCUUCUUCCUCCAUAACCCCUUCCUUAAGCCUGUAUGACUGAUUGGAGCUGGAUGGGAGCAUGAUCGUGCAGCAAAGCUGUCGAGUUGCCAGUGCUAACUAUACCUGCACAGUAGCAUAUCAAAUGUGGUGUGUGGGAGGGCAAAUUGAAAUCGCAAAGGCCCUUUCGGGCUCAUUCAACAUAAUUCUUGGGGGGGGGUUGCAAUUUUUUAAUGAAUAAAUAUACUGAUUAGU